AUGGAGACCUGUAUGAAUGGCAUCACGAGGGCUUAACUGUCUCCUUUUCCAAGUCAAUGAAAUUGAUCUCCCCGUGCAGAAGCGGGGAUACACCCAUAAGACGAGAAGACCCUAUGGAGCUUUAGACACUAAGACAGCUCAUGUUAAAGCCCUCAGACAAGAGAUUAAACUGAGUGAUGCCUGUCCUACAUGUC
rnacentral:rRNA from 1 species